rnacentral:rRNA from 1 species
GACGAAGGAUGCAAGCGUUAUCCGGAUUCAUUGGGGUUAAAGGGAGCGUAGGUGGCCUUAUAAGUCAGUGGUGAAAUCUCUGGGCUUAACCCAGAAAUUGCCAUUGAUACUGUAGGGCUUGAGUAUAGAUGCCGUUGGCGGAAUAUGACAUGUAGUGGUGAAAUACAUAGAGAUGUCAUAGAACACCGAUUGCGAAGGCAGCUAACGAAACUAUAACUGACACUGAGGCUCGAAAGUGUGGGGAUCAAACAGG